rnacentral:rRNA from 1 species
UGAGUUAAUGGCUCUGAUCUCACCGGAUCCCACCUGAACUCCGCAGUUCAGGGUCCUUGGGUGAGAGUAGUACUAGGAUAGGUGACCUCCUAGUAAGUACUCGUGUUGAACCCC